AUGCAACUUUUCUCCUUGAAAGUGUCAUGCCUUCAGAUUUUCCAGCCACAAAGCCUGCUGAGGUCGGACCAACUAUGCAUACUAAAUAGUUUCAAUUUACAUAGCGUGCAUAUGUAUAUUUACACACACAACAAGCUUUCCGCGGUUCCCUCCAUGUUACACAAACAAGCUGCUGUUGUGGGUAAUUCCUGUGACACGCUUAAUUUUUCGCUGAAUCUGUUCAAUUUCAAGAGUUUUGAUAUCCGUGUACUUCUCAGUGGACAAUGGAGGAACAAGGACAUUAUCCGAACGCUGCUAAAUGCUCCCAGAGGAUCUCUGAGCCACAUAGGCAACACACUGCAGUUAUUACAGAUGCUUUCAAGCCAGACACUUGUAUUCCAGGUCCUAUACAGUUGGAGGAGCACAAGAACCCAUUGGUAACGUAAGAACCCAUCCUUACAGUACUACGCACCCUCCAUUAAAGCAGGCAGACCAGAGUAUUAUUGCUUGGGAUAGAUGUGGGAAACUGUUGCCAAAUGUGUCAGUCUGCUCCUGCCUACACAGACAAUGGGAGCUAAAUAUUCCAGUGCAUUUCAAAGCUUUUUUGCCUCCCGGUUCUAUUGGUACGUCAUUCUGCACAGCCCCCUGGAGCACUGAAUCCAAUACAGCAUAGCAGCACGCAGAACUGUGAGCGUCGGCUGCCUCAAAGUUGUUUUGAUAUUAGAAGGAGACAUUGCCAUAUAGAGUAAAAUACUUAUCCUCCCCUGACAUAUAUACUUUUCAUAAAUCAGGAAUUUAAAAGUAAUAACAACUCAUGUUAGCAUAAGAUAGAAAGAACUAUGUUAGACUCAUUCAGCCCAAAUUUAGUCACCAGAUACGGCCCAUUUGAGAAACUACUAUGAGUAAUGCUGAGUGGAAAACUGAAAAAAUGAGUAACUAAUGGUUACAAUGGUAACAAUGAGGCCAAUGUCCACUGUCACAUGUGUCAGAGAAGCUUCAGUGAUCCCAGGAGCAUCCUGCCUGCUUAUGGUUCAGGCCCUUCCUUACAAAGGGAUGGCAGAAGGUAUCAAGAGCCCCUUUACCAGUCCCGGAGAAGGGCAGGUGCUUGGCAGUUCCUACCAGACCCCAUAGUAACAACCUACUGGUCAAGGCCCUGCUCCACAUAAGCUAAUGCCUCGAGGAUUUCUGAUGGACCAAAAGCUCAUAUGUUUUGUUGCCUCACAGAAGCAAGCAGCUCUGACACUACUAAACUCAUCUAUUAUCUUCAGGGCAAUGAUGUUUGCUGGGUGCUGGUGACCCCGGGAUGGUAUUUGCCCACCUCCAGCCGCAUCACUUCCAUGUAUCAUGCACAAGCAUCGUGCUAGACAAUCACUAUGUCAAAUAUUGGCUAUAACAUUGACUUUCCAUCAACACUUCUGUGAGCCCUUAGACAUGGCCUGCA
rnacentral:lncRNA from 1 species